rnacentral:rRNA from 1 species
CCUACGUGCGGCAGCAGUGGGGACUAUUGCACAAUGGGGGAAACCCUGAUGCAGCGACGCCGCGUGAGUGAAGAAGUAAUUCGUUAUGUAAAGCUCUCUCAGCAGGGAAGAAAAUGACGGUACCUGAGUCAGAAGCCCCGGCUAACGACGUGCCAGCAGCCGCGGUAAUACGUAGGGGGCAAGCGUUAUCCGGAUUUACUGGGUGUAAAGGGAGCGUAGACGGCAGUGUAAGUCUGGAGUGAAAGGCGGGGGCUCAACCCCCGGACUGCUCUGGAAACUGUACGGCUGGAGUGCAGGAGAGGGAAGUGGAAUUCCUAGUGUAGCGGUGAAAUGCGUAGAGAUUAGGAGGAACACCAGUGGCGAAGGCGGCCUACUGGACUGUAACUGACGUUGAGGCGCGAAAGCGUGGGGAGCAAACAGGAUUAGAUACCCGUGUAGUC